GUACUAAGUUGUCAUACGUGGAUUAACGUGUAUUCAAAAAAUGAGUUGAAGGAGAUAUAUUCAUUGAAUCCCUUCGGAUGCAUAGUGUCAAGUGUCUUAAUCUAGUAUGUUUCACUUUGAAGAAGCAGUUUGGAUCUGUAUGGAUUUUGUACAUAGUUUCUCCCAAAAAGGGAAGGAAUAGAUAACCCCUGCUGUCUGUGGUAUAUUGUGACGAUCAAAACCAAAAGGGGAACCGUCACACAACUUCCAGAUAAAAUAGU